rnacentral:rRNA from 1 species
UACGGGAGGCAGCAGUGGGGAAUAUUGCACAAUGGGCGCAAGCCUGAUGCAGCCAUGCCGCGUGUAUGAAGAAGGCCUUCGGGUUGUAAAGUACUUUCAGUCGUGAGGAAGGUGUUAAGGUUAAUAACCUUAGCAAUUGACGUUAGCGACAGAAGAAGCACCGGCUAACUCCGUGCCAGCAGCCGCGGUAAUACGGAGGGUGCGAGCGUUAAUCGGAAUUACUGGGCGUAAAGGGCACGCAGGCGGUUAAUUAAGUUGGAUGUGAAAUCCCCGGGCUUAACCUGGGAAUGGCAUUCAAGCUGGUUAGCUAGAGUCUUGUAGAGGGGGUAGAAUUCCAGUGUGUAGCGGUGAAAUGCGUAGAGAUGUGGAGGAAUACCGGUGGCGAAGGCGGCCCCUGGACAAACGGCUGACGCUCAUGUGCGAAAGCGUGGGGAGCGAAA